CCUACGGGGAGCAGCAGUGGGGAAUAUUGGGCAAUGGGGGAAACCCUGACCCAGCGACGCCGCGUGAGGGAAGAAGGCCUUAGGGUCGUAAACCUCUGUUGUGUGGGAAGAAGAGCGUGACGGUACCACACGAGGAAGUCCCGGCUAACUACGUGCCAGCAGCCGCGGUACUACGUAGGGGACGAGCGUUAGCCGGAUUUACUGGGCGUAAAGGGCGCGUAGGCGGUCAUUUAGGUCAGCUGUGAAAUGGUUUGGCUUAACCGGAUCAUGCGGUUGAAACUUGAU
rnacentral:rRNA from 1 species